AACGAACGCUGGCGGCAUGCCUAACACAUGCAAGUCGAACGAGACCUUCGGGUCUAGUGGCGCACGGAUGCGUAACGCGUGGGAACCUGCCCUUAGGUUCGGAAUAACUCCCCGAAAGGGGUGCUAAUACCGGAUAAUGUCUUCGGACCAAAGAUUUAUCGCCUUUGGAUGGGCCCGCGUUGGCUUAGCUAGUUGGUAGGGUAAAAGCCUACCAAGGCGACGAUCCAUAGCUGGUCUGAGAGGAUGAUCAGCCACACUGGGACUGAGACACGGCCCAGACUCCUACGGGAGGCAGCAGUGGGGAAUAUUGGACAAUGGGCUGUAUCCUGAUCCAGCAAUGCCUCGUGAGUGAUGAAGGCCUUAGGGCUGUAAAGCUCGUUUACCCGUGAUGAUAAUGACAGUACCGGGAGAAUAAGCUCCGGCUAACUCCGUG
rnacentral:rRNA from 1 species